rnacentral:rRNA from 1 species
UACAGAGGGGGCAAGCGUUGUUCGGAAUUACUGGGCGUAAAGGGCGCGUAGGCGGCCCGCUAAGUCGAACGUGAAAUCCCCGAGCUCAACUCGGGAACUGCGUCCGAUACUGGCGGGCUUGAAUCCGGGAGAGGGAUGCGGAAUUCCAGGUGUAGCGGUGAAAUGCGUAGAUAUCUGGAGGAACACCGGUGGCGAAGGCGGCAUCCUGGACCGGCAUUGACGCUGAGGCGCGAAAGCGAGGGGAGCAAACGGG